UAUUUUUUUUAAAAAAAUCAGGCAUUGUUCAGGCAAUUUAUCAAAGACAAAUAAUAGAGUAGUCAUUUAAAUUUCAAAUGUGAAAGCCAUUUGCAUGAUAUGGAGAGGCUUUGUGGAGAAGCUUAAAACUGAGGACCAGCAUGAAGAAAUUGUUUUCAGUUUUUUCACUUUUUUUGAAGGUCACUACCUUUCUUUUACUACUGAGAAGUUUAGAUAGAGAUCAUUCCAUAGUGUUCCCCUCACUGAGGAAAGUGAACAUUUAAUACUUGGUUGUUGAACAGAUACUCAAAAGUUGCCUCCCAUCUUUAGCUUCAGCUAGUUGAAAUCAGGUAAAACAUCCAAUUAGACGUCAAAUUGUAUAUUUCCUUGCUUCUCGUUUUUUUUUCCAUAUUCCCUAACUUGAGGGAAUAGUGACACAGUGUAGAACCAGCACAGUUUGUCCCCUUCCCUCUGGGAAAAAAAAAAAAAACCCAAACUCAUUCCCAUUCACCUGCCUCAAGUGGCAGUUAUUAGGGCGUGACGCUCGGGCCUGAAGUGCAAUGUCCUACUACCUUUAUCAGAUCCAGAUGGGGAUGAGGUACCUGGAAUGUGGCUUUCUCUCAAUAUAGACUUCAAACUCAAGAGGCAAGGCAUCUCCAACUCACACACCCAGCAUUCUGCUAAACUGCUGAAACCCCUCCCCUUCAACAGAGGGGAAGGCAGCUCUGGUGCACGGCUGCCUCUUCUAGGAUUAGAAUUUGGGCUAAGAAGGGGAUGCCUCUCCCAUAUGUUAUCUGGGUUCUGUGUCCUAUUCUUGUCACAAGCAACAGCUUGUAUUUGCAUCUGAGUAGUUUUCUCAGCUGGCAGGAUUCCUCCCUGUAGAACUUUCCAAGAUUCAAAAGCUCCUUUCAUUUUUAUCUCUUGGAUUUUUUUUUUUAAUCCAACCAAGUAGUGUUUUUGCUACUAUGUUUCUCUUUAAGAAGUCUGAGUCUUUUGUGAAUUUUAUUGGGGUUCAUGCAAAAAAAAAUCACUUUCACAAAACUUUUUUGAGAUCAGAUCUUUAACUCAUUCUUGCAAAGCUCUACUAGGACAAUGAUUUUAAGAUUUUUGUACUCUUAAAAUCCUUAAGGAAAUUUAAGGCCCCACUGUAGAUCUUUCUAAAGUCUUAGCAAAGGGUUUUAUAGUUAGGAUCUUGACUUCUUUAGAGUGUUCCCAGCAGCAACCUGAAUUUGAUUUUAUCCUAGAAGUCAUGUAUUUUAGCAUUGUCAAUUUUGCAUGUGGGACCUCUAAAGAAGGGAAACAGAUAUUUGAACCCAGUUAAGUCCUGGGUUUUUUUUUGUUUUUGUUUUUGUGAGCUUCUUCUGUGUGUUUAGUAGUCUUUGUUUAGCUUAGCUCUCAUGUCAGUUUUACUUUUAGUUACUGUAUGCCAAAAGGCCCCUUUCCUCUGGGGCCUUUCAUGUGUGCCUUGAAGGUCCUUUCUGUAAAAUCUCUUUAAGGGUCACAUGGCUUCCUCUUACAGCCCCUUUGAAAUCUUUUUGGCUUUCCUUGUUCUUAAGUCCUUCCUGCUUCCUCUUACUUCUGGGUCCAAAGGCAUUCUACAUUUUUUUUAAUGACAACUAAUAUUUAGUAUCAGUAUCAGUGUUCGUAAUUGAUGUCUAAUAAACCACCUCAAACAAUGAACAUUUCAAGGCAACAUGUAUUCUGUUCAUAUCAGUAGUUUUGGCAAGACUCGGUGAGACCAGCUCAGUUCUUCCCAUUGGCAUCAGCUGGGGUGACUAGAACUGGGAACCAGAAUCACCUGAAGUCUCAUUUAUUCACAUGUCAGAUAGUUGAAACUGACUUUGGACUGAGCCGUUAGCAGAACCCGCAAGUAGACUAUUGAGCAGGAAGACUCAUCAUGUGGCUUGGGCUUCCACACCAAAAGGUGACUGAAUUCUAAGGGCAAGCUUCCCUAGAGAAAGUUGGGUGGCAGCUAUAUCCCAUUUGCUAGUUAACCUUCAAAUCACACAGCAGUUGCAUGACCUUCUAUUCACUAGAAAACAUCCACUAAAGCCAGAAUACAGGAGAGAGGGGAAAAAGUCAAUGUGUAGACAGGUCUUCAAACCACCAGUCUACAUAAUCAUUAUAUCUAGAGGACAGUAGUUCUUCCCAACUCAGUACCAGUGAAAUCCCACCAUAUUUUUAAUGGUAUUAUUGUUGUUUAGCAUGUUUCUUUAUUUUGUGGAAAGAAUAAGAAUAAGAAGACAAUGCUCUUGAACUCUUUUGUUCAAAAAGAUGUAUUCAUCACACCACUAAAUUUUUAUACUGGGAGAUGUCAUCAGUCCUUAUGAAGAAUCAUUACUUCUUGGAUUGCAAUUCCAAUUAACACAAAACAUUUGCAGUUCAGAAAAGGGUUUAGGAUAUUGAAUUUCUUAACUAGAAUCUUAUUUUCAAAGUCUCAUUCUGGGAGCCAUUUUUGACACAGGCCUAAAUAACUCAAUAUGACAUCCCUAAAACAUCUUUAAAAAUUAAGGAGAGAAAAUAUGACAGGAAGGGGAAAAAGACCUUCUACUACUAAGAGGUGACUCUUUUUAAGAGGAAAGUCAUGAGGCAGUCAUAGAAAAAUAAAAGUCUAAGAUCAAGUAAAAAUGUUUUGUGACAAAGAUGAUAAAUGUAAGGAAUAUGUUUUGCUGACUAAUGGAUGUUUUAACUUCUGUUGAUUUUCUGAGAAAUUCAAGGGAACACAUUCUCAGAAUCUACUAAAGAUAUUUUAUUGCAACUGAAUUUAACUCAGAUUUGUUACUGGUUUUGUGUUAGUCUAUUCUUAGUCUCCUUCCUUCAUUACCAAACUAUAUUAUGCUUAUUCAGACAGACUGAUGACAUUACAGCAAAACUGGAAACUAUCUUCAAAAUGUCUACAUUUGGAGGGGGGAAAAACCUGUUUAUUCAGCAGGAGUUAUAAUCUACAUUUGGAGGGGAAAAAAAACCAUGUUUAUUCAGCAGGAGUUAUCUGUAUAACCUUUACAAAAGAAUGAGAUGGGAAGGAUAUAGCAUCAUUAAAACAACAUUAAAACAACUCUAUUUUAACAGGUUAAUUUAUCUGCAAUAUACUUUAAUACACUACACUGCUAAUACACACUACACUGCUAAAUAUAUUUUGGAUGUAUACAUUGUCUUUUCUCUACCUUCCAAUUUGUUUUGUAGAUAUCUAGAAGAUGACAUCUGAUUCUCCCUUGAAAUAAUUUCAGUGUUCACCAUCAUUAUAACUAAUUGAUGUUUCAUGGAAACAAUUUCCAUUCAAGAACCAAUUGAGUUUUCAGACUAGUUGGCAUAAAAUAAGACUUAGGAGGAAAAGGAAAAAAAAAUGUGAUGUAGAAAUAUAACAACUCUUGAAUAGUUUGAAUUGAUUCUAUUAUUUUUUUAAUCAACUGAACCAUUCAUAGCUGAGGAAUGGAGCUCAGUGGUAAAGCACUUGCCUAACAUGAACAAGGACCCGAGGUUGAUCCCAAGCAUCGCACAAUAACUAAAACAAAAAGACAACACAAGAAUGAUUUAAAACAUUUUAUUGCACACAUUUAAUGCAUUUGAUAUGAAUGACAAAUGUUUUAAACUUCAGCAUCUUUUUCCCAUAUUUAAAAUUGCAGUCUGAAUGAUGGACUCAAAACUAAAGAAGACCAACAGCAUAACAAUUGUGUUACGAUUAUUUUUAACAUAUAUCGUUUAAAUUUGCUUGACACAAGUUGGAGCUAAGGAAAGUUUAGAGAAGUUAACAGAGAAUCACAAUCCUUCAAUAAAAAGUCAGACAGAACUCAGAAUUUAAGAUCUGGAAUCUGAACUCUGUAAAACAAACACUCAAGAAAAUGAUAAACAGAACUGAAAAAAUACAAGCAAAUCUACUAUCUAGGAGAAUUCAGAAUUAGAAAAUCAUUGUCAGAUGUACUAAAACAAGUAAUGGAAAGAUAAGAUCAGAAGAUAAAUUAAGGUCUGUGGGGUUUAUUCCAUCUCCACAAAUUAGAAGAGUUAUCAUUGGCCAUAAAGGAAAGGAAUGGUGACUCUUCUUUUUUAUUGAAAUCUCUCAUAACUUCAGGUUAACAGAAUUGAUCGGAUCAUAAUCUGUGUUUCUAAAGAAUAAUAUUUAGUGAGAUAAGUCCAUGGUAUCACUGGGAAACAAAAGGUAACUGUUAGGUCAGUGGUGGUGACUUGGUGGUGGUGAUGGUGGGGAGGGAGGAAGGAACAUCAAUCAGAUGCCGGCGGAAACCCCUGUCAAUCAGUGAGAUCUCCUGACUAACGCCUGUCAAUCAGCAGGACCCCCUGGCCAAUCCUGGAGUUCAGUCAACUCCCCUGACCAACUCCAAAAAGGGACAAGGGACCCUAAAAUCACCUUUUUCUGUCCCAAGUCUUUCCCUUCCUGCUAUAAGCCCCAUAAAAGUCCAAUCCGGUUGAGCUUCCACAUGGUUUUCCCUCAGACCCUGCUCCUGACCCCUUUGUGGGUCUGAUCAAGUUCUGCCCGGGAGUGAUAUCUCAAUAAAGCCUGUUCAGCGGCCCUUUUAAAUCUGCCUCCUUUAGUCGCUGCCCGCCUUGCCCGAUCUCACAGUAACUAGAUAAGAAAAUUUUGGAAAACAAUGUAAAUGAAUAAACUUGACUUCAAAAUAUUAAUACUUCUUACCUUGUUUUAUGGUUUUAUGAGUUCCCCUCUCUUAAUAUUCUUAUUUAGCUUAACUGAUCUAUUAGGGUUACAGCUAAGUACUUCAGCUUUAUAAUUAAGACAGUGAUAUUGUUACCCAAUUGCUCAUCAACAUUCCCUCAAAUAAAUGUAUCAACAAGUGUGACCACUUGUGAAAGAUUAUAACUGAAACCCGAGUUGGGUUCUGAUAACCUCCUCUGGGUGCAUUCGGGCACGUGGUCAGUUAAUUUUCCUUGUUGGCCAUCUUUCGUGUUCUCCCUAGAGGGUCCCUGGAGACACUCUGUCCUUUAGAGCUGUUGGAGUCUACAUAAAGGCAUACCUGUGACGUAGGGGAUGGUUAACACAGGACAAAGGGGAGAAAAAUUCACAAAUGUGGUUUAAACAUAUCCCUUGGCCAGUGCGAGGGUCCGAGUGGAAGAAACAAAGGGGCGGUCCCACUUUUGAUGCCUUGCUAAGGAUGUUAGAGCUAAUUGCCUUCCAGGCUGCUUCAAUUGUUCAGUUCUUCUGGUCACCAGCUCAGUUACCUGGUUCUCCCUUAGAGGGCGCUGCUCUGAAGUAUCCUGAGGACCAAAUGCUGGCUCAAUUUCCCCCAGCUAAAGUGUGGCAUGUGCAGAUGGUGAGAGCACAUGCUUGUCAAUGCCUUUGAGGGAUGUUUCAUAAAAUCCUUGUUUUUAUAAGUACAAAUAUUCCUAGAUUUUUUUCAGUUUUAUUUUAAUUGCAUAUUGUGGGAGGCUAUCAUCGCAGGUGAUUUGAGUUACCUCCCUGGCUGGAUGAGAGGCACUUAGGCACAUCUUUUUUGUCCAGAGCUUUCCCCAACCUUCUCAGGUCUGAGGGCUUGUCUGCAUGGAAGCCUGUCUUGGCCACUACCCGGAAGACCCAACUGUCGCACCUGACCUUGGGACCCUGCCCCCCUUCAUCUUCAUUGGAGGGGAUUUUCUUCAGAAUUUUUUGUUCCCCAAUAAAAGUCCACUCCCUGGUGUGUUCUCUCUUUCGCUGAUCUCUUCAGUAAACCUCACUACUCUAAUAGGUGGCUGAAGGCUGGAGCUAGGAGAAGCCGUCCUGGAGCUGGUUUAAAGGUAAUUAGAGUCUUGUCUCUUUAAUUCAAAACUCCCUAGAGAUUUCUCAGGUACUGAACCUUCAUUAAUGAAGCCUGUGCUGGCCACCGGGCUAAAGCAUAUAUUAAAAAAGUACAUUUUAAUAUAUUUAUACAAAGUGACAUGGCCACUGUAGUGACACUAACAAACCUUUCAUCUCAUAGUUACCCUUUCUAAUGGCAUCAAUAUCUCUUACUUUGAGUGACUAGGAAUUAACCUAGAAAAGAAUGGACUUAUUUAGAACAAUUUUAAACAUAUAAUUGUGUCUAGUAGGUAUGUUCUGACAUUUUCAGUGUGAAGGCACUGCUUGAUGGGAAUUUCCAUCUUCUCUUUGGAGAAGUUUUGUUUUGUUUAAUGCAAAUCAUUUAGAUGUAAUUGAAGGGAAAAUGAGAAACUUUCUCUUUUCCAAUCUUCACAGGUCUAAGUAGAAACUAAAGGACUUCGAUACCAAUGUUGCAUAGAGAAAUUGCAGAAUAAAUCUUUAGGACAGACCUAGAGUGCCCUUGUGUUGGAAAUCUUAAUAAUGGUUUGGACUCAACAAGAGUUUUAUUCCACAAGAAAACAUACUCAUAGCCUUGAAAUGACAGUGUGCAGAACUAUCUAACCAAGAUCUUCUGAACCCCAAGUGUUGUUGCAAAACAUCGUGUUUGUACAGUACUGGAAUCUAGCGUCUGAGUAAAUAAAAGAAUCCUGGUGAUUAAGAAGUCUCUCCACCCCUCUGUAUUUCAGAAAAUGGCAUAUGCAUGAUAUCACCUCUACUUAAAUGAAAGUCUGUUCCUUGUGGCUCUCAGAAGACUCAGUUUUAGGCUCCUGACACCUGACAGGCCAGGGCUACUUUUUCAGUUUUCAUUCUCAGCAUGAGGAAACUCUGGAUGCAGAAAAGCAGUUAUCAGGAAGUUGCUUUUAAUUCUAAUGGGGCUCUGUUUCUGUAGCAGAAACUUACCAGGUAGCAGAAUGGUUUUUCAUUAUUAUCUUUCAAGAAUGCAUGUCUUUAGGAAGAGACUGAAGUGAGAAGUUAAAAACAUGAGAACUGCAAAAGUACUCAAGAACAUAGAAAUUUUAUUAGGAUAAUAAAUCAACAUGUGAAGAGCCAGAUCAAAAAAGGAACUUUGUAUUUUUCAACACAAUGGAUUACAAGAUAAGAAUAUUUAACUGCAGAUGUGCCUUAAAACAAGAAUAUGAGAAGAAAUGUCGUAUGGCUUUAUGAAAAAUUAAGGGACAGGUAACAAAGAAGAGCAAGAUUAAUGACAUUAUAGCAAAACUGGAAACUGCAUCUUCAAAAUGUCUAU